rnacentral:lncRNA from 1 species
GGCAGGCAGCACCUAGCUCUCUGCACUGCAGCAGGGCCACCGAGGAUCUUCCCUCUUGCCUGUGCAGUGUCAGCGCAGCCCUGGAUGAAUUUCCAGGGGCUUCUGACAAAGAGCUGGCCUAAGGAUGUCCUCGCACAGAACCCAGAAGAUUAAAACCUUAAGACCGGUACUUGUUGAAGCGGUCACUAAGUGUACGAAGACUAGUGAAAACAGUCACUGAAUGCAUCUCUUCUUCAGCCUGUUUGAAAUAGAUAAAGGCACAAGAGCGAGACGAGCUUUUAAACCGAACGCUUGCAGCCUACUUGGAGCACUCACAAUCAGUGCAGACGUAGUCUUCAAUUCUGAUUUUAGUUUUCUCAAGGUGGCCUUGGAGGGAGCAAAUUCACCAGUUCUUACACCUACUGUGCCUGCACCC